GAGUUUGAUCGUGGCUCAGGACGAACGCUGGCGGCGCGCCUAACACAUGCAAGUCGAACGGAGUUGUUUUGGAGAAGCCCUUCGGGGCGGAACUGAUUCAACUUAGUGGCGGACGGGUGAGUAACACGUGAGCAACCUGCCUUACAGAGGGGAAUAACGUUUGGAAACGAACGCUAAUACCGCAUAACAUAACGGAAUCGCAUGGUUUUGUUAUCAAAGAUUAUAUCGCUGUAAGAUGGGCUCGCGUCUGAUUAGAUAGUUGGUGAGGUAAUGGCUCACCAAGUCGACGAUCAGUAGCCGGACUGAGAGGUUGAACGGCCACAUUGGGACUGAGACACGGCCCAGACUCCUACGGGAGGCAGCAGUGGGGAAUAUUGCACAAUGGGGGAAACCCUGAUGCAGCGACGCCGCGUGAAGGAAGAAGGCCUU
rnacentral:rRNA from 1 species